rnacentral:rRNA from 1 species
AUACGUAGGUGGCGAGCGUUGUCCGGAAUUACUGGGCGUAAAGGGUGCGUAGGCGGAUAAUCAAGUCAGAUGUGAAAGUCAUGGCUCAACUGUGGGAGUGCAUUUGAGACUGAAGAUCUAGAGUGCAGGAGAGGGAAGCGGAAUUCCUAGUGUAGCGGUGAAAUGCGUAGAUAUUAGGAGGAACACCAGUGGCGAAGGCGGCUUUCUGGACUGUAACUGACGCUGAAGCACGAAAGCGUGGGGAGCAAACAGGAUUAGAUACCCUGGUAGUCCACGCUGUAAACGAUGAGUAUUAGGUGUAGGGGACGAGAGUCUUCUGUGCCGGAGCAAACGCAAUAAAUACUCCGCCUGGGGAGUACGGUCACAAGACUAAA